rnacentral:rRNA from 1 species
UACGUAGGGUGCAAGCGUUGUCCGGAUUUAUUGGGCGUAAAGAGCUCGUAGGCGGUUUGUCGCGUCGGAUGUGAAAACCCAGGGCUCAACCCUGGGCCUGCAUUCGAUACGGGCAGACUAGAGUAUGGCAGGGGAGACUGGAAUUCCUGGUGUAGCGGUGAAAUGCGCAGAUAUCGGGAGGAACACCAGUAGCGAAGGCGGCACUCUGGGCCGGAACUGACGCUGAGGAGCGAAAGCGUGGGGAGCGAACAGG